UACGUAGGGUGCAAGCGUUUGUCCGGAAUUAUUGGGCGUAAAGAGCUCGUAGGCGGUCUGUCGCGUCGAAUGUGAAAACCCCGGGGCUCAACCCCGGGCCUGCAUUCGAUACGGGCAGACUAGAGUUCGGUAGGGGGAGUCUGGAAUUCCUGGUGUAGCGGUGAAAUGCGCAGAUAUCAGGAGGAACACCGGUGGCGAAGGCGGGACUCUGGGCCGAUACUGACGCUGAGGAGCGAAAGCGUGGGGGAGCGAACAGG
rnacentral:rRNA from 1 species